UACGUAGGGGGCAAGCGUUGUCCGGAAUCACUGGGCGUAAAGCGCGCGCAGGCGGUCAUCUACGUCUGGGGUGAAAGCCCGGAGCUCAACUCCGGGAUUGCCUUGGAUACGGGAUGACUUGAGGAUUGGAGAGGCAAGGGGAAUUCCACGUGUAGCGGUGAAAUGCGUAGAGAUGUGGAGGAACACCUGUGGCGAAGGCGCCUUGCUGGCCGAUUUCUGACGCUGAGGCGCGAAAGCGUGGGGAGCAAACAGG
rnacentral:rRNA from 1 species